UACGAAGGGGGCGAGCGUUGUUCGGAAUUACUGGGCGUAAAGGGCGCGUAGGCGGCCCCUUUUGUCGCGUGUGAAAGCCCCUGGCUCAACUGGGGAAGUGCACCCGAAACUGAAUGGCUUGAAUGCAAAAGAGGGUCGCGGAAUUCCCGGUGUAGAGGUGAAAUUCGUAGAUAUCGGGAGGAACACCGGUGGCGAAGGCGGCGACCUGGGUUGACAUUGACGCUGAGACGCGAAAGCGUGGGGAGCAAACAGG
rnacentral:rRNA from 1 species